rnacentral:rRNA from 1 species
UACGGGGGGGCAAGCGUUGUUCGGAAUUACUGGGCGUAAAGGGCGCGUAGGCGGCCUGGCAAGUGACGGGUGAAAUCCCUCGGCUUAACCGAGGAACUGCCUGUCAGACUGCCUGGCUUGAGGCCGGGAGAGGCGAGUGGAAUUCCCAGUGUAGCGGUGAAAUGCGUAGAUAUUGGGAGGAACACCAGUGGCGAAGGCGACUCGCUGGACCGGAACUGACGCUGAGGCGCGAAAGCGUGGGGAGCAAACAGG